rnacentral:lncRNA from 1 species
ACUCUAUGGUCUUUUGUUCAACAGGACCUGCCCUCAGCGUUCUUCACUCCACACGACACAGCCGACCCAGACAUCAUGUGCAGGAGGUACCUCCUGACAGCAGGCUUGACACCAGCUACUGUCCAGCUCCCCAGUAAACCAGAUUCCCUCAUUGCUCCUAAUGGGGUCUAGACUGCAGGAGGAGGAAGCAGGUGGGCAAUGUCCAGAUUUCCAUGAUGACCCUCCGAGGAGAUACCCGUGGCUAGGUUACUGCACAACUACAGCAUCACAGAGGAGACUCCAGAACUCAAACUACCAAGGUAGCUCCACAGACUGACUCCCGGUGUGCAUAGAGGGCAGGCAAAUGCUGACUGGAGGGAAGGGUUUGGAGAGUUGAAGGGGAGAGAGACCAUCCUAGUGGGAGGAGAAUGUGAGUGAAGGCUUAUGGAUGAGAAGGAACCAGGCAGAGGGACCAAAGCAGGUGCCCUGACCAAGCAGAAGCAGAACAUCAGGGCGAAAUGUGCUGUAGUAAUGGAUCAGCAGGGUGGAGGCUGAUCUUUGGGAGGGUCAAGAAUCAGGCUAGAAUGUGGUGUUCAUACCAGGGUAUACCACAGGCAACUGCCAUCGUUGUCCCUUAGAUGUACCCUUGCUCCUGGAUACCUGGCUCUGGUUGGCGGCACCCUCAUUCAGUUAGACACUCACACAAGAGCCUUCUUAGAAUCCUUUCUUACUCCUGACAGCUAAUCAAUCAUUGAGUCUUGCUGACUCUUGUCUCCAAGCCUGUCUUAAAUUCAUUUUUCCUGCCAUUCCCCUGGUUCAGAACUCAUUAUCUCUUGCUUAGACCAUGGCUCUAAUAUCCUCAUUGGUCUCCCUGUUUCCAUCCAAAGUCAAUAAAGAUUUGUAGGAUGAAAAAUGCAUGAAUACUGAGGCUUAAAUGGUCAUGGCAGCUCCCCAGUUGGGAAGCCCAGCAAGAAGCUUGUCUACCAUCCACUGAAGACACACAGAAACUUGUCUCUGGAACUGAAAGUACCCUACAGGAGUUAGGCAUUACAACCCAGCUUCCAUUUUAGAAGUGAUCCAGCCUACAUUUCCCUUAUAGUUGGAGAGAACCUGAGUCCCUACAUGGAAGCUGACCCCAGGAUCGGAUUUGCAUCUGGGCCUCACUCAUUUGCUUUCACGCUUUUUAUCUGAGCUCUCCUCCAGUGCAGUUCAAAAGCCAGGCUUCUAAUGAAGAGGCAGGACUGACCCUGCUCAGCAGGGUUAUUGGGACAGGAUUACCAUAGGUGUGGGGGGCAGUGCCAUGGAGAGAAACACAGGCUUCUCUCCUUCAAAGGGCAGCUCCCAACUCCAAAUAAGUCCACACCUUGGGGGAAACUGCCUUGCUGGCUGAAUUAACCUGCCCUUCUGCAAGGCAAGGUUGGCAGCACAGAUGGAAUGAGCUGUGUUAACAUAAGAGAUGCAAUUUUGUUCGAAAAUUUCUUCCUUCAGGAAAUCCUUAUUACACUCCCUAUCUCCCCAUCUCUCCCCAGCAACAUUCAAAAGCAAAUCACAAGUGCAUGCCCUUGGGCCCAUCUGAUCUUUAACAAGCUGAUCCCAUCAUCUCUUCCUAACCUGGAGGAGUUUAGGAAACGAUGCUAACUAACCCACAGUGGCCUGGGGUUCCGUUGACUUAUAAUUCAGGUGCAUGGGGAGCAAAAUGGGGUAUUCCUUCAAAGUAAGAUGUCAUCUUAGAUGACUUCUCUGCUGCAGAAUGGAGGAGAGGACUGGAGGUGGUUUUCUGAAUAUUGCAGAUCCCUUAUAACCAUUUUUGCAAGAGCUGUAUGGAAUAUUGAAGUUGUGGUGAUUUUUCUGAUCUGCUGCAUCAUUCUGGAGAGGUGUGCAGCCCCAUAGGCCUUCCCUGCCAGCCAGGUGACGUGAAAAAUGGAACAUGACAAUAUCAAGCAGAGUUUAUUUCACAUUGAGUUCUAAAUAUUUUUACUUGGUUCCUUGGGUUAGAACAGUGUGGGUGAAGGGGUGUGUGUAUGUGUGUAUAUGUGCUUGUGUGUACGUAUGUGUGAAAGUUGAGGGAGAAAAACUGCCCCAAAGAUAAUAGUGGAGAGGCCCACCUUGGGGGAAGGCAGGCUAGACUGUGCAUUCACAGCCUCCUUUUCUUUUGGAGGAGAUGCAGUUACCUCCAAAUACAAGCCCACUGUAAGAGUAAGCCCUUUCCUAAGCUCCCAAACAUGGCUGGAGAGUCCAGUGUGAGUUCCUGAGUAUUUUGGGAGAGAACAAGGAAGAAAUCAACUAUGUGCAGGAGUAGGAGUGAAGGAGGCCCAUCACCAUGUCAACAGUCUGACUUACUAAGCACAUGAGGCACUUCUCGCCUUAUGAGAUGCUCUUUUUCUCAUUUCACAGACUCACUGAGAGAUUUACAUUCUAGCUCCCGAGGCCUGGAUGGAG